rnacentral:rRNA from 1 species
GACGAACGCUGGCGGCGUGCUUAACACGUGCAAGUCGAACGGAAAGGCCCUGCUUUUGUGGGGUGCUCGAGUGGCGAACGGGUGAGUAACACGUGAGUAACCUGCCCUUGACUUUGGGAUAACUUCAGGAAACUGGGGCUAAUACCGGAUAGGAGCUCCUGCUGCAUGGUGGGGGUUGGAAAGUUUCGGCGGUUGGGGAUGGACUCGCGGCUUAUCAGCUUGUUGGUGGGGUAGUGGCUUACCAAGGCUUUGACGGGUAGCCGGCCUGAGAGGGUGACCGGCCACAUUGGGACUGAGAUACGGCCCAGACUCCUACGGGAGGCAGCAGUGGAGAAUAUUGCACAAUGGGCGGAAGCCUGAUGCAGCAACGCCGCGUGCGGGAUGACGGCCUUCGGGUUGUAAACCGCUUUCGCCUGUGACGAAGCGUGAGUGACGGUAAUGGGUAAAGAAGCACCGGCUAACUACGUG